UAUUCAACUUGUAUUUAUCUUUUCAAUAUCUAUUAUACUUUUUCUUCAGUUCCAGUUUAAGUUUCAUGAUGUUUUUUCACCCAUUUCAAAAUUUAUAAUGGGUGUGUAUGGGACGGAAUGUUGGGGCUAGAGUGAGACAGCUCAACUGCUAGAGUGAGAGGAGCAAAAAAAUUAAUCUUAAAAUCUUUUUUAAAACUGCUGCUGUGUCUGCAGCGUUUGCUCUACAGGUAUGAUUUUACCCUCAAAACGUAGCCAUCGCUGUCCUCUUUCAUCCAAUGUGUUUACUAUUGUACUAGGUGUUAUGGUUCUUUCAUAAAUGUCACCAAUGCACAGCCUCCUCCCUCCAACUCUUCCAUAGACUCUAAUGUUAAAAUGGCUCAGAAGGUUCGUUUGAAAAUCAGAAGAGCAUGGUGUCUUUCCACUGUCACCACGUCCAUAUAAUAAACUCCACAGACAUGAAAACUGAGAAUUUGGUAGACUAGACAUUGCUGUCGCUCACAGUGAAAGAAUUUUGUCAAUACGACUUUUACUUUUCAUUUGGGAACGAUUUGUUUCGCCCUGACUUUUCUGUUCAUUUUAAGCAGCAAAAGUGAGGCGCAUGUCUGUGUACGUGUGUAUGGAGCCACUGGGUGCGGUCACUAUAGCAACCAGGCUCACACCUGCCUGCUUAACGAGCUCUCUCUCUCACUCUGCCAAGAUUCAUCUUAAGCACUUCUCUUUCAACUGCUGCUGUGUCCACAGUGUUAAAGCCAUCAUUUUACCCUCAAAACGUCGCCAUCGUUGUUCUUUUUCCAACAUCUUGUCUUUCAAAGCUCAGAGAUGUAAACUUUUUAAACUGUGUGGGUCCAAGUGGAGGGAUCACAUUUUAGUCAUUCAGUGAUUCAAAGAAUAUGACCUUUUAAUAUUCAUUCAGAUGUUUUCUGACUCUAAAUGUUCUUUUCUCAUUUCUUAGGGUUUUCUAAUUUACAUUUAAAACUUUUUAAACUGUGUGGAUCAAAGUGGAGGGAUCACAUUUGAGUCAUUCAGUGAUUCAAAGAAUAUGACCUUUUAAAAUUCAUUCAGAUGUUUUCUGACUCUAAAUGUUCUUUUCUCAUUUCUUAGGGUUUUCUAAUUUACAUUUAAAACAUUUUCAGUUUUUUUCCAACUUCUUCUUCUGUGUAACCUUCAGCUUUUAGCAGUUCAGCACCUUUGUUUUCAGGUUAAAUUCGGACUUUUUUUUAUCUCAUUCAAUAUUUUUAACUCAAAAUUCAGCAAUUAAUUCAUUUCAGUGCAUACAUUCAGAUUCAAGCAUUCACACUGCAGUUUCUUCAGAAAAUGCACUUUCUAGUUAUCUAUUAUUCCAUAUUCCGUACGUUUUUUGGCAUCUAACUCCUUCAAAACCGUUCAACUUAGAAAAACCAUUCAAACACCUUCAGAUUCCUCUUCUUUUGGACAAGACUGCUUCUAUUUUUCUCAUUUUUAACAUUUAUAUUUUUAAUUUUAUUCAACUUUA
ensembl:lncRNA